CAGACUCUGACGUUAGAAUACCUGGAUUCUACUUUUGGCUCUGGUACCAUGUGGCUUCUCCAAGCCUCAGUUUCCUCCUCUGUGGAAUGUGAAAAAUAGAAGCUCCCUCAUAGGGUUUUCACUGGCAUUAAAGGGGCUUCCAUAUAGAAAGCACUUAAAGUAGUGUUCAGCACGUGGUAAGCAUUCAACAAAUGUUAGGUGUUAUUAUUACUUAUUAAACAGGUACAUAAUAAACAAG
rnacentral:lncRNA from 1 species